rnacentral:rRNA from 1 species
AGUCGAGCGGAGANGAGGUGCUUGCACCUUAUCUUAGCGGCGGACGGGUGAGUAAUGCUUAGGAAUCUGCCUAUUAGUGGGGGACAACAUUUCGAAAGGAAUGCUAAUACCGCAUACGCCCUACGGGGGAAAGCAGGGGAUCUUCGGACCUUGCGCUAAUAGAUGAGCCUAAGUCGGAUUAGCUAGUUGGUGGGGUAAAGGCCUACCAAGGCGACGAUCUGUAGCGGGUCUGAGAGGAUGAUCCGCCACACUGGGACUGAGACACGGCCCAGACUCCUACGGGAGGCAGCAGUGGGGAAUAUUGGACAAUGGGGGGAACCCUGAUCCAGCCAUGCCGCGCGUGUGAAGAAGGCCUUUUGGUUGUAAAGCACUUUAAGCGAGGAGGAGGCUCCUAUAGAUAAUACCUAUAGUGAGUGGACGUUACUCGCAGAAUAAGCACCGGCUAACUCUGUGCCAGCAGCCGCGGUAAUACAGAGGGUGCGAGCGUUAAUCGGAUUUACUGGGCGUAAAGCGUACGUAGGCGGCUUUUUAAGUCGGAUGUGAAAUCCCUGAGCUUAACUUAGGAAUUGUAUUCGAUACUGGGAAGCUAGAGUAUGGGAGAGGAUGGUAGAAUUCCAGGUGUAGCGGUGAAAUGCGUAGAGAUCUGGAGGAAUACUGAUGGCGAAGGCAGCCAUCUGGCCUAAUACUGACGCUGAGGUACGAAAGCAUGGGGAGCAAACAGGAUUAGAUACCCUGGUAGUCCAUGCCGUAAACGAUGUCUACUAGCCGUUGGGGCCUUUGAGGCUUUAGUGGCGCAGCUAACGCGAUAAGUAGACCGCCUGGGGAGUACGGUCGCAAGGUUAAAACUCAAAUGAAUUGACGGGGGCCCGCACAAGCGGUGGAGCAUGUGGUUUAAUUCGAAGCAACGCGAAGAANCCUUACCAGGCCUUGACAUGCAGAGAACUUUCCAGAGAUGGAUUGGUGCCUUCGGGAACUCUGACNCNGNUGCUGCAUGGCUGUCGUCAGCUCG